rnacentral:lncRNA from 1 species
AAAAUUUGUUCAUCUUUUUGCUAAGCUUUAGUUGAAGGUCAUUUUGCAUUUUUGCCCUUGAGGAAGAUAUCAAAAUCUUUACAACUAGCAAGUAUGGUCCUUUCUUAUGGUCUCUAGGUGGCCCAAUUGGGGGUGAAGAAAGGGAAAGAACAUUUUGGAUGGACCUGCUCUCCAUUGUUUGCCCUUAUCAAUUCAGAAGCUGAAAGCAGAUUCCAUGAGGAGGCCAGGGAGGCAAAGAUAGAAGGAUAGAGAGACCUAUCUAAGCAUCUUCUAGAUAUGGAGGGCCGUAAAAGCAGCUCACUUUUUUCAAGUUUUCUAUAAGAGAGAAAAUCAACCUUCCUUGGAAAGUAUAAUGAUAAACAACUUUUUAUUAAGGAAUUUGUGGUAAGCACUUUUGUCUUGGAGAAGCCUCCUCCUAGGAGUGAGGGGAGAUUUCAGUUAUUUUGAAAGAACAAAGAUAUGCUAAAGCUUCCCCCCACCCCCUUCAAAGACAUUUGGCAGCUUUUGUCCUCUUCAAAGUUCUAUAAAUUGGGUAGGACACUACAUAAAGCCUAAUUGAUCAUGCAUUUUCAAUCAACGAAAAAUCCACCAUCAAAUCUUGUAGAGGUUAUUACAAAAAUCACAUAGAAAAACAACGAGACCCCACUAGCAUAGCAGGAAUUAUAUAUCUCAAUCAGCUACAAUUCCUCUUCAAAUGGGAUUGAAAUUUCUAUUUGUGGUACUAUUUGUUCAAUAAUUUACAAGGGAUCAUUUUCAAGAAUCAUAUUCCAAAACUUCCCAUAUUUUUCUAAAUCAUGUCACGGUGUGACAUUUUCAAAAUCAUCUUCUCUUUAUUUAUUUCUG